GCAAAAUAUCAAAAUUUGAUAAUUUUUAUAUUAUAUUCAUAAAAAAACUUAGAGUUAAACAGUGAUAAAUUAUCUCAAAAUUGAAUAUGCUUUUCAUUAACAAAAUUCUUAGGUAUUCAUUUAACGAAAUCACUAUUUUUUUUUUAUAAAUUUACCCACACUCUGUAUUUGGGAGUCCAACUGCAAACCAUUGGCAGUUGAAAAGCAUAAAGGAAAACAAAUGGCACUAAAUCUUCAAUCCAUGCAUAGAAUUUGCACAAAAAGCAAGAGGCUUUUCUGAGAAUUUCUUGACAUGCUCAAAAAAUUGGAACUCUCAAUGCCAGAAUUUUACCUUACUAAUUACCAAAACCAGGGUCCCCUGCAGCUGCUGCUAUAACAUAAUCUCAUUAUCACCUGUCGCUCAUCAAAGUCUUCUGCAUACCACCAUGCAAAACAAUCAACCUUCGCUAGUUUUGUAUUAUUUAUUCAACAGAGGGGAAAAUCCUCUCCUCUCUGCAUGGAGAUAUUAAUUCAUAUUUGAUUUUAAAUAAAAGAUUUAAGUCUGUAUAUAAUUAAGCAUGAUCUUUCUAAUAUAUCAAUAUUUUUUCUUGUUACGAUGUAUCAAUAUUUCUCUAAUCUAAACAAAGAGGAAGAAGAAUAAGAAAAGCUCACCUUGCCUAUAGAAAAUGCUGCUAUAUUGCAGUUUAAUACACAAUUCUUCAGUUUUCCCUUUAUGGGUAGAAGGGUUUUGCCCUGCCCUCCUAUUAUUUGGCUGCCACCAAAUUCCAUUAACCAGUAACCACAGAACCACUACACACAAAAAUAUUACUACCUUUUUUUUUUGAUAAAAUCAUUCUCAGUCCUCUCUUUUAAAUUUCUCCAUCUCUUCCUCUGUUAUCACUGGAUGAUGACGCUUCUUCUUAUUCUUCUUGUUGUUUUCCAAAUGCAUCUUGACAUAAAAAUUCAAGAAAAGCAAAAGGAUUGCUCCAUUAAGCACUGAAUUGAAGAGCCAGGCUCCAAUUCCGUUGCACCCUCCUUUCAUAAAGUGAAGCAAGAGCACCCCAACAUGGCAAGCGAGGUUGCAACCCAACAACACCAUAUGGCAAUUCACUACGAAAGGGAAGCAAGCGCUGGGCAAGCCUAUUGCCGUCCAAAAUCUAUACCCAUAAACCACAGAGUAAGCCAAAGUAGCCAGAAGAAUUGCCAGGACCUGAAACGAUUGCGAGAAUUCAAGCCACAAGAAUGACAUAAAGAUGGAGAUGGAAUUGUUAAACAGCUGAAAAAACGCCAGUUUACGUAGCUGCAAAAUGGUGAAGAAAGUACGGAACAUGUGGAGGAACCGAGAAAGAUAAUACAUGUAGGACCAGAAGAAAACCCGACCAGAGGGACGUGUUCCCAGAGGAAAACAGAGAAGCCACUGAAAUGGGGUCUUGGAACGCCGCCAAAACCAGCGUGUUUCUUGGAUCUCCGCAGCUGUUGAAAGGAGAAUGCCAGCGAAGAUGGUGACCGAAAUCAACGCCAUGGAGAGACUAUGAACGGCGGGGAUUGGACCGAGAGGGACCACACGGCCACGACGGAGAAGAAUCGCCAAGAAAAGAUGGACGAAAGCGCAAAAUCCAAGGUAGAAGACUAUGGAGGAGAAGAGGAAUGACCAGGUGGAGCCCCAUGAUUGGCUGUGGCUCCAUCGGAAAUUAACAAUGGAUGGAUGCUCGGAGAGGUAAUAGGUUAGUGUUUGAAAGACGGCGUCCAUCAUCACCGUGGACGGAGGAUGAGACAGCGGAGGUGAGGUUUAGGAGAGGAGGAGCACCGCCCUGGCCGUGGUGGUUGCGUAUGCGGUUUGGUAGUCAUCCACGGCCGUGCCUUUCUUUUUCUUUUUAGUUUUCAGGAUGAAAGGGUGGAGAAGGGAUUUAAAAUAGGGAGACG
rnacentral:misc_RNA from 1 species